rnacentral:rRNA from 1 species
GAUGAACGCUGGCGGCGUGCCUAAUACAUGCAUGUCGAGCGAACAGACGAGGAGCUUGCUCCUCUGACGUUAGCGGCGGACGGGUGAGUAACACGUGGAUAACCUACCUAUAAGACUGGGAUAACUUCGGGAAACCGGAGCUAAUACCGGAUAAUAUAUUGAACCGCAUGGUUCAAUAGUGAAAGACGGUUUUGCUGUCACUUAUAGAUGGAUCCGCGCCGCAUUAGCUAGUUGGUAAGGUAACGGCUUACCAAGGCAACGAUGCGUAGCCGACCUGAGAGGGUGAUCGGCCACACGGGAACUGAGACACGGUCCAGACUCCUACGGGAGGCAGAAGUAGGGAAUGUUCCGCAAUGGGCGGAAGCCUGAAGGAGCAACGCCGCGUGAGUGAUGAAGGUCUUCGGAUCGGAAAACUCUGUUAUGAGGGAAGAACAAAUGUGUAAGUAACUAUGCACGUCUUGACGGUACCUAAUCAGAAAGCCACGGCUAACUACGUG